ACCACCUGGGGGUCUUGUUAAAAUACAGAAUCUGAUUCAGUGAGCCUGAGAUGGAGCCCAAGAUUCUGCAUUUCUAACAAGCUCCCAGGUGAUGUCCA
rnacentral:pre_miRNA from 1 species